AGUGAACGCUGGCGGCGUCCCUAAUACAUGCACGUCGAAGGAAGUGGCGCACGGGUGAGUAAUAUAUAGCUAAUCUGCCCCUUGCUGGAGGACAACAGUUCGAACUUACUGCUAAUACACCAUAGCAAGGGAGGAGACUAUAUCGUAGAAGCUAGGCGGUUGGUUAACGGCCUACCGAGGCUAUGACGCGUAACUGGUGCGAGAGGAUGAUCAGGCACAUUGGAACGGAAACACGGUCCAAACUCCUACGGGAGGAAGCAGUAGGGAAGAGUGCGCAAUGGGGGAAACCCUGACGCAGCAACGGCGCGUGGAGGAUGACACUUUUAGGAGCGUAAACUCCUUUUGUUAGGGAAGCUCUCCCUCUCCCCUAAGCACCGGCUAACUCCGUGCCAGCAGCCGCGGUUCUUC
rnacentral:rRNA from 1 species